rnacentral:tRNA from 1 species
GUUUUAAUAAUUUAAUGAAAAUAUUAGUUUUGUAAACUGAAAUUAGGAAUAACCUUUAAAACU